rnacentral:sRNA from 1 species
AAACCCAACCUAGUCCCAAAAUUUGUGUCAGCAAUGACCUAUACGACUUCUUACAGGUUAUUUGAUUUGUUGUUGGUCUUCCAAAAAUUUCAAAAGAAUUUUUCUUUGAAUUAAUUAUAUUGAGUUGAGUUCUACCUUCAUAUUCGUAGGCUUUUUUCAAAGAGCAUCCAAACUUAGCAAAAGAUGACUUCUAUAUCACCGGUGAGUCUUACGCUGGCCACUACAUUCCCGCUUUAGCUUCGCGAGUCCACAAUGGAAACGAAAAGAAAGAAGGGAUUGUAAUAAACCUUAAGGUAACUGAUAUAUCUUUGGUUACUGCUACUGCAACCUGGUCCGCCGGAUAACCAGAUCACAACAGGAUCACUACUAUUGUUUCGUGAUUGAAAGAAGAAAUGGAACAACCUGGCUGAUUUUGAACGCGGAAGGCUGAAGUAGCCAGCGUGUUGGCCCAAAUCUUUCACCGAAGGAUCACCAAAGGUAGAUGAGAGUUGAGAGAAGAUGCAAACUAUGAGGAGGAAAGGGAGAGAGAAGGUUUUGGUCGCCAUAUUUUCUUCUUUGUAUUACGAACGAGAGAGAAGAUGAAGAAAGUUUGUUAAAGUUUUUGUAUUUGAUCUUAGAAAUGAAAACAGAGCGUGAACA